CUGGUCCUUGAUGUGUAGGAUAGGUGGGAGGCUUUGAAGUGUGGACGCCAGUCUGCAUGGAGCCAUCCUUGAAAUACCACCCUUUAAUGGCUGGUGUUCUAACGUGGACCCGUUACCCGGGUUGCGGACAGUGUCUGGUGGGUAGUUUGACUGGGGCGGUCUCCUCCUAAAGAGUAACGGAGGAGCACGAAGGUUAGCUAAUCCUGGUCGGACAUCAGGAGGUUAGUGCAAAGGCAUAAGCUAGCUUGACUGCGAGAGUGACGGCUCGAGCAGGUGCGAAAGCAGGUCU
rnacentral:rRNA from 1 species